ensembl:lncRNA
AAUAAUAAUAUACACUGUUAUCUCCUUUUAAUGCAGUAAUAUUUUAUAGGAUUUCAUGAACUCCUAGAUGGAAGAGAAGUAGACUGCUCCUAGAAUAAAAUGCCUCCAAGGAAAAUGGAAGAAGACUCAUAAUUAGGAAUUCUUUCAAUGGGCACAAAAACAGUUGAUGGGGAUGGUGCACUGAAGAAAGUCUGAGUGUUUGAGGAAGGAGACCAGCUACUGAGAAGGCAGUCCAACCUAAGGUGAGUUGUGCAAAGAGAUAGGAUGUCAUUCCAUAAAGAGUCUGCAUAUAUCUCUA